UAAUAUGGCCGUAGUUCCUUGUCAAAGCCUGAUCUUAUCAGAUCUCUUUUGCUAAGUAGGGCUAGGUCUGCUUAGUACUUGGAUGGGAGUCCACUAGGAAUAUCAGGGGUACCACAGGGA
rnacentral:rRNA from 1 species